rnacentral:rRNA from 1 species
UACGGAAGGCAGCAGUGGGGAAUAUUGCACAAUGGGCGAAAGCCUGAUGCAGCUAUGCCGCGUGUAUGAAGAAGGCCUUAGGGUUGUAAAGUACUUUCAUCGGGGAGGAAAAAACAAAACUAAUAAUUUUAUUUCUUGACGUUGCCCGAAAAAGAAGCACCGGCUAACUCCGUGCCAGCAGCCGCGGUAAUACGGAGGGUGCUAGCGUUAAUCAGAAUUACUGGGCGUAAAGAGCACGUAGGUGGUUUUUUUAAGUCAGAUGUGAAAUCCCUGGGCUUAACCUAGGAACUGCAUUUUGAAACUGAAAUACUAGAGUAUCGUAGAGGGAGGUAGAAUUCUAGGUGUAGCGGUGAAAUGCGUAGAUAUCUGGAGGAAUACCUGUGGCGAAAGCGGGCCUCCUAAACGAAUACUGACACUGAGGUGCGAAAGCGUGGGGAGCAAACAGGGAUUAGAUACC